AAUAAGUUUUAUUCUUUCUUUUUUAUUAAUUUUAUAUUUAAUUUAUAUGUAUUUUAUUUAUUUUUAUUUUUCAGUAAUUAUUUUUAUAUAAAAUUUUAACAAAUUUUUUAGUAAUUUAUUUUUUAAUUGAAAAAUUUUGUGCCAGCAUUCGCGGUUAUACAUUAAAUUACAUUUAAUAUUUUAGGUUUUUUAUAUUAUUUUCUGAUAAUUAUUUUUUAUAUUUAGGUUAAAUUUGUAUUUUUAUAUUAAUUUUCUUUUUUUUUUGUAAUAAUUUAUUUGUUUAGACUAGGAUUAGAUACCCUAUUAUAUUUAAUUAUUUUUAUCUUAUUAUUAAAAGUUAAGUUCUUUAAAAUUUUAAGAAUUUGGCGGUUAUUACUUACUUUUUAGAGGAAUAUGUAUUUUAAUUGAUAAUCCACGAUAUUUUUUACUUAAUUUUUAUUUGUAUAUCUCUAUUUAAUUAUUGAAUUUUUAUUAAUAAUAACUUUCUUUUUUUUAUUUAAUUUAAUUUUAGGUCAAGGUGCAGUUUUUUUUAAGUUAAUAUGUAUUAUUUAAAUUUUAAAUUUUUUAUUUUUAUUUCUUUGAUGAUUUAUUUUUUUAGGAUUUAAUAGUAAUUUUAAUUAAUUAAUUAAUUUGAAUUAAGUUCUUAAUAAUGUACAUAUUGCCCGUCACUCCUAUUUUAGGAUAAGUCGUAACAAAGUAGAAUUAUCGGAAGUUGAUUCUAGAAUUUU
rnacentral:ncRNA from 1 species